CUUCGGGGCAGUGGCGGACGGCUGAGUAACGCGUAGGUAACGUGCCUUUUACUGGGGGAUAACAUCGGGAAACCGGUGCUAAUACCGCAUAAGUCACGAGUUGAAAUACUUGUGAUUAAAGAAUUUCGGUAAGAGAUCGGCCUGCGUCUGAUUAGCUUGUUGGUAGGGUAAUGGCCUACCAAGGCGAUGAUCAGUAGUUGGUCUGAGAGGAUGACCAGCCAGAGUGGGACUGAGAACGGCCCACACUUCUACGGAAGGCAGCAGUAGGGAAUUUUGCGCAAUGGGCGAAAGCCUGACGCAGCAACACCGCGUGCGGGAUGAAGGCCCUCGGGUUGUAAACCGCUGUCGGCAGGGAAUAAAUUGACUGUACCUGCAAAGGAAGCACCGGCUAACUACGUGCCAGCAGCCGCGGUAAGACGUAGGGUGCAAGCGUUGUCCGGAAUCAUUGGGCGUAAAGAGUUCGUAGGCGGUUUCUCAAGUCUGGUGUUAAAUACGGGAGCUCAACUCCCGCAUGGCAUUGGAAACUGGGUGACUAGAGUGUGGUAGAGGUUACGGGAAUUCCUGGUGUAGCGGUGAAAUGCGUAGAUAUCAGGAGGAACACCUGUGGCGGAAGCGCGUAACUGGACCAUAACUGACGCUGAGGAACGAAAGCCAGGGGAGCAAAAGGGAUUAGAUACCCCUGUAGUCCUGGCUGUAAACGAUGGAUACUAGGUGUUGGAGGAUUCGACCCCCUCAGUGCCGUAGCUAACGCGAUAAGUAUCCCGCCUGGGGAGUACGACCGCAAGGUUGAAACU
rnacentral:rRNA from 1 species